GUCCAAUAAGAAAAUCGUUGAGAGGACUCUUCCGAUAGCGGAGCGCAGAGGAAGCCACACUUCGACAGCAGCAUCCAUGGCGGCUACUCCUUCCGCCAGCAAAUGCUUCCUUGUCACCGGUCCUCCCGGCGUGGGGAAGACGACCUUGAUAACGCGGGUUUUUGAAGCUCUGCGGGCUUCCCAAUACAGGGAUUCUAAAGAACUAUGUUGCGGAGAGGUAUAGUAAGUACGGUGAGGGAAAAUGAAACACGAAAUAUAGAUAAAGGUAAAGAAUGGAUAAACUAAGGGAGCAGCGGGAGGGGCAAGAGAUGUGUGUGGUAGUGGCUUGGCUAAGGAAAAAACCUGCUUAUGCUAAUUUAUGCUCGAUAUGAACUAUGCCUAUCUUAUGUUAAUGUGUUGCAUGAUUUCUUAAUA